UACGUAGGGGGCAAGCGUUGUCCGGAAUCAUUGGGCGUAAAGAGCGUGUAGGCGGCCCGAUAAGUCCGCCGUGAAAGUCCAGGGCUCAACCCUGGAAUGCCGGUGGAAACUGUCGGGCUAGAGUGCGGAAGAGGCGAGUGGAAUUCCUGGUGUAGCGGUGAAAUGCGCAGAUAUCAGGAGGAACACCAAUUGCGAAGGCAGCUCGCUGGGACGUGACUGACGCUGAGACGCGAAAGCGUGGGGAGCAAACAGG
rnacentral:rRNA from 1 species